UCUAAAAUAAAGAAUUAUGCUUUAUUUCCAUAUGUAUGUAUUUUUACAGCUUUUAUUCAGGGACACGAUUUGUGAUGCCAUGGUUAUGUGUCUGAUUACUAAAUAUCAGGACAGGCCUGCGUGGAGUUCUUAUGGAUUUGCAAAAUAAAUGUUUUAUAUACAUACGUACCCACCAACCAUGUUGGGUUUUAUAUAUGAUAAAAUCUGCAGUUACAUUUCUCGUUCU
rnacentral:lncRNA from 1 species